rnacentral:lncRNA from 1 species
AACAUAGACGGUGGCGAUGAGGAGGAGGGAAACAUGGUUCGAGGAGGUGGAGAAAACCAUGGAUCAAUUUCUCAAAAUUUAUCAAAUAAAGGUAAAAGUAAAGAUAUUAAUAUAAUUACGCCACUAGUAAUUUGAAACAGAUAAUAACUAGGAUUUUUUAUUUUUAUUUUCUUCAGGUUUCACCGUUAUUAUUACAUAAAGUAGAAUGGAUGUAUCGAAAAUCUAGGGUAUUUGGUUAUUUAGUGAAUUAUGUUUUUUUUUUUCAUAUACAAACCAAUUUCCAAAGUUUAUAUGGCAUAAUCACUUUUCUCCAUAUGCUACCAUCGAAACAUUUACCGUUGCCAUCAAAUAGUACAAAAUAAAUAAAAAAAAGAAAAAAAAUUAAAUAGUACAACAUCGUAUCGCCUCCUACCGACCGGACUACUCAUGCGAACAAUUCCCUAGCAAAUCGCUUGGUAAACCUGCCGUAUGACACCACUCGUACAUGCACCGAUUCGAUUCUGUUCUCCAAAAAUAGGAGUAGUUUCGUCCUUCAUAGUCCAAAAGGAUAGUCAGCUUUCCCAUUUCAGAACCAAGAGGGCAA